GACCAACUUGAGGAAAACCCAUCCUUGCACAUCCUAACUCGGAGCUCUUAUUGGAUAUCUGAGGAAGAUAAGUGCUUUCAGUUAGGGUGAGGCAGGCUGAGGACCAAACCAUCCAAGCUU
rnacentral:precursor_RNA from 12 species